AUGAAAGUCAAGAUUAUAGAUUGUGUGCCUUUCGUCAGUGUGUCGGAGGUGAUUCGAUUUGAGUUGAUCGCUAAAGCUCUUUAUUUGAGUAUUGAUGAAAUGAAGGAAAACUGGAAAACUAAGAAAGAAAUGUGCGGACUCUUGUCAUACCCCAAAUUUGCCCGCCUCGGUGGUACAGUCAAAAUUAGGUUUUAA